rnacentral:lncRNA from 1 species
AUGCUUUCCUUUUUUCUUCCUCUCUUUCUUUCUAUUUUCUUUCUCUCUUUUCCUUAUCUUUAUCUCAAAUUUUUUCUCUCUUUUUCUCCUCAUUCUCACACCUAUCUACAGCCCAAAUUGGAUGUGGAACCUGGGUGUAGCGCCCCCCUUUCAUAGGAAAGAUGGGGCGACUCCAUGGGAUGCCAACUCUUGGCAUCCCUUAACUCUUACACGAUAACAUUAAAUUUUUUUGUGAAAUCCAAAGGAUAU